rnacentral:snRNA from 1 species
UUGCAUCGACUAGAAGGUCAUAU